rnacentral:rRNA from 1 species
ACUUUUAACAACGGAUCUCUUGGUUCUGGCAUCGAUGAAGAACGCAGCGAAAUGCGAUAAGUAAUGUGAAUUGCAGAAUUCAGUGAAUCAUCGAAUCUUUGAACGCACAUUGCGCCCGCCAGCAUUCUGGCGGGCAUGCCUGUUCGAGCGUCAUUUCAACCCUCAAGCUCCGCUUGGUGUUGGGGCCCUACGGCGUACGUCGUAGGCCCUUAAAGGUAGUGGCGGACCCUCCCGGAGCCUCCUUUGCGUAGUAACUAACGUCUCGCAUCGGGAUCCGGAGGGACUCUUGCCGUAAACCCCCAACUUUUUAACUGGUUGACCUCGGAUCAGGUAGGAAUACCCGCUGAACUUAAGCAUAUCAAUAAGCGGAGGAAAAGAAACCAACAGGGAUUGCCCCAGUAACGGCGAGUGAAGCGGCAACAGCUCAAAUUUGAAAUCUGGCCCCAGGCCCGAGUUGUAAUUUGCAGAGGAUGCUUUUGGCGCGGUGCCUUCCGAGUUCCCUGGAACGGGACGCCAUAGAGGGUGAGAGCCCCGUACGGUUGGACACCAAGCCUCUGUAAAGCUCCUUCGACGAGUCGAGUAGUUUGGGAAUGCUGCUCAAAAUGGGAGGUAUAUUCUUCUAAAGCUAAAUAUUGGCCAGAGACCGAUAGCGCACAGUAGAGUGAUCGAAAGAUGAAAAGCACUUGAAAAGAGGGUUAAACAGCACGUGAAAUUGUUAAAAGGGAAGCGCUUGUGACCAGACUUGCGCCCGGUGAAUCACCCAGCUCUCGCGGCUGGGGCACUUCGCCGGCACAGGCCAGCAUCAGCUCGCGUCGGGGACAAAAGCUUGGGGAACGUAGCUCUCUUCGGGGAGUGUUAUAGCCCCUUGCAUAAUACCUUCGGCGGGCUGAGGUACGCGUUCGCAAGGAUGCUGGCGUAAUGGUCAUCAGCGACCCGUCUUGAAACACGGACCAAGGAGUCAACCUUAUGUGCGAGUGUUUGGGUGUCAAACCCCUACGCGUAAUGAAAGUGAACGCAGGUGAGAGCUUCGGCGCAUCAUCGACCGAUCCUGAUGUUCUCGGAUGGAUUUGAGUAAGAGCAUAUAGGGUUGGACCCGAAAGAAGGUGAACUAUGCGUGUAUAGGGUGAAGCCAGAGGAAACUCUGGUGGAGGCUCGCAGCGGUUCUGACGUGCAAAUCGAUCGUCAAAUAUGCGCAUGGGGGCGAAAGACUAAUCGAACCUUCUAGUAGCUGGUUUCCGCCGAAGUUUCCCUCAGGAUAGCAGUGUUGAACUCAGUUUUAUGAGGUAAAGCGAAUGAUUAGGGACUCGGGGGCGCUAUAUAGCCUUCAUCCAUUCUCAAACUUUAAAUAUGUAAGAAGCCCUUGUUACUUAAUUGAACGUGGGCAUUCGAAUGUAUCAACACUAGUGGGCCAUUUUUGGUAAGCAGAACUGGCGAUGCGGGAUGAACCGAACGCGAGGUUAAGGUGCCAGAGUAGUCGCUCAUCAGACACCACAAAAGGUGUUAGUACAUCUUGACAGCAGGACGGUGGCCAUGGAAGUCGGAAUCCGCUAAGGACUGUGUAACAACUCACCUGCCGAAUGUACUAGCCCUGAAAAUGGAUGGCGCUCAAGCGACUCACCCAUACCUCGCCCUCAGUGUAGAAACGAUGCGCUGAGGAGUAGGCGGACGUGGAGGUCAGUGACGAAGCCUAGGGCGUGAGCCCGGGUAGAACGGCCUCUAGUGCAGAUCUUGGUGGUAGUAGCAAAUACUUCAAUGAGAACUUGAAGGACCGAAGUGGGGAAAGGUUCCAUGUGAACAGCGGUUGGACAUGGGUUAGUCGAUCCUAAGCCAUAGGGAAGUUCCGUUUCAAAGGGGCACUUGUGCCCCGUAUGGCGAAAGGGAAGCCGGUCAAUAUUCCGGCACCUGGAUGUGGGUUUUGCGCGGCAACGCAACUGAACGCGGAGACGACGGCGGGGGCCCCGGGCAGAGUUCUCUUUUCUUCUUAACGGUCUAUCACCCUGAAAUCGGUUUGUCCGGAGCUAGGGUUUAACGGCCGGAAGAGCCCAGCACUUCUGUUGGGUCCGGUGCGCUCUCGACGUCCCUUGAAAAUCCGCGGGAAGGAAUAAUUCUCACGCCAGGUCGUACUCAUAACCGCAGCAGGUCUCCAAGGUGAACAGCCUCUGGUUGAUAGAACAAUGUAGAUAAGGGAAGUCGGCAAAACAGAUCCGUAACUUCGGGAUAAGGAUUGGCUCUAAGGGUUGGGUACGUUGGGCUUUAGGCGGACGGCCCGGGAGCAGGUCGCCACUAGCCGGGCAACCGGCCGGAGGCUUCCAGCAUCUGGGUUCUGACGCCUUUAGCAGGCUUCGGCCGUCCGGCGUACGAUUAACAACCAACUUAGAACUGGUACGGACAAGGUGAAUCUGACUGUCUGAUUAA